GUGGCCACUGGACAGACUUCUCAUUUAUCUAAAUACACAGAUCAGAAAAACUCUGAGAAAAAGAAUGAAGGGUAAUUUUCCAAACACUGAAAUGUGUCUAUGAGUGUGUUUGUGAGGGUUUCUUUCAACAGCUCUCUGUCUUCUAGCAUUGCUGGUCAAAGCAGUGGUGCUUAUCUUCUUGAGAAGGAUGAAGAUGCUGAAGAUGGUGCCAAGGAUCCUGUAACAGUUAGAGGAGCUUAUGCAUCUUUAAUCUACCUGAGACACCUCAGGAUCAGAGAACUUAAGGUAAAAAACUGUCAAAAACUGGCAUUAUAGAUAUAAAAGAUUUCAGAGGUUUUGGUCUUUCCACCUACAGAAGCAUCAAAAAGUUUUACCAUACUUUUUUAAAUGUGUACCAUGCUAAAAUGUUUUUUUGUUUUGUUUUGCAUGAGUUACUUCUCCUUUUUUAUGACUCACUCAUAUAUUGCAAUGACAUUUGCAACAAGCAAAACUUUAAAAGUAAGGUAACAAAUUCUGUGUUCAGAAUCGAUUUCUGUUGAUGAUAAUCAGAAUGAAAACAGAAAAUCUAAAAAUAAAAUCCAAUUCAAAAUAUUCAGCAAAACUAUAAUAGUAUAUCAGUUAUUCUAAAAUAAAAAGAAAACUAUGUAGGUCUGUAUGUUUAAUUGAUUAGAGGGCGAAAAUUGUUUCUAAAUAUAUGGUGAUUGAAUAUGAGAAAAAGUAAGAGGGCUUGGUGUUAUCUCUGAUGCUACAGGGUCAUAUUUCAAUAUGGUUUAACACAUUUUUAUAUAAAUCAGCAGUGUAAAAACACUUUUAAUUUGUAAUAUGUGUUUCACAAUCAUCAUUUCAUGUUGUUCUGUCAGAAUCACAUGCAUCAGAUGGAUCUGGAGGAGAACUUUAUUUCUUGGCUAGAAUGGAUGUAGAUCGGUUGGCCGUGCUUUUAGACAUAUGGACAUGUGAAACAGAAUUUCUGGAGCACAAAAUCCAGCUCUUGAAUUGCUAUUUGGAGGCAUAUCAGCAUGUCACGGAUCUAGAUGAAUGGUUCAGGUUGGCUCAGGUCAUCACAGACAUCAUGCACAGAAGGCCACAGAUGGAUCUUACUGCUGGAUAUUUUGUUCAAGCUUACAGGGACACGAUUGUCUGCCUCCAAAGCCACCAACAGCUCAUCAAACUAGUGCUGAACAAUCAGAUUGAUGAGCAGAGACAAUAUCUGGAGAGAAUAUGGAGGGAGGGACAGAAUGGCUGUCCUGGUGAAUACGGCCUGCCACCAAAAUACAUCCCUAAACAUCUGGUAUCAGUCGGUGGAAGCAGGCCUGCUUUGAAGAGUGUGUAUUUUUUAGAGAUUCACCCCUCAUUGUGUUUGGCGUCGCGGCUGUACGAGGGUCUUGAACGGGCCUGUGCUGAACUGUGUGAGCUGCACAGAUCGAAAACACAGUCUCAAAGAGUCAAACUGGAGCAAAGUCUCUUGAAAAUGGCCUUGCGACACUGGGACUUGCUUGCUGCUCCUGGCUCAACCUACAGUUCUCAGAUCCAGAGAGAUGUACGUCUUUUUUUUUUUGCUCCAAAUAAGCUGAGAGUUCACUGUCAAACCUUUUGUGAUGUUUAG
rnacentral:lncRNA from 1 species